CCCAGCUCUGGAAGUGGUGGUGAGUGUGUCGACUGCCAGCCUGGCAAGCCCAGUCUCUGGUGGAGUAGACAGUCUUCCCCAGAUGUUCAUUUCUUGAUAUAUUUUAGUGCUCACAAAGAUCAUGCAAGAUGGUGCAAACCCAUGAGACCCUGGACCUUUGGCCACUUGGAGGCACUGUGUUUCCAAGGAGCCCCGCCCCCUGCCAGCAGCAGUCUUGGGUUCCUGAUGCUGCCAUGGGCUCCAGGCUCCUCUGCUGUGUGACUCUCUGCCUCCUGGGAGCAGGCCUGGUGGAUUCUGAAGUCACCCAGACACCCAAGUACCGGAUCAAAUCAGGAAACAGCAAGUGACUCUGAGACGUUCCCCUGAAUCUGGACACCUCUCUGUGUACUGGUACCAACAGGCCCUGGGCCAGGGCCCCCAGUUCCUCAUUCAAUAUUACAACAGGGAAGUUAGUGAGAAAGGAAACAUAUCAGAUCGAUUCUCAGGAAAACAGUUCAGUGAUCUUUGCGCAGAGCUGAACCUGAGCUCCUUGGAGCUGACGGACUCCACCCUGUAUCUCUGUGCCAGCAGCCAAGGCACAGCCCUGCGUCAUCAGGUGUCUCUGGGACAAAAACACCCCUGCCCCAGCUCUGGAAGUGUUGCCCCGUGUGUCAGCUGCCAGCCUGCCAAGCCCAGUCUCUGGUAGAGCGAUAGACUUUCCCAGACAUUCAUUUCUUUACAUGCUUUAAUGCUCACUAAGAUCAUCAACAUAAGUAUAAUUUUAACUGUUUGUACAUCUGAGGGGACGGGAAUUGCCCAGAUCUCACACUUUAUAACUUACACCUAGGCUUCCGCUCAGGUUUGUUCUCAGCACCUGUGGUUCCUUUCCUCAUGGAAAUAGCUCCAUACAGAGCAAAGUCCAUACCCAUGCUGGGCUAUGUGUAACAGAGACAGUGUGGGGCUGUAAGAUAUGAACUGUUACUCAGUGAAUGGCAGCUGUGCAUCGCAAGGAGGUAUUCCCAUGGAAAGAACCUCUCAAUAA